rnacentral:rRNA from 1 species
AAAUUGAAGAGUUUGAUCAUGGCUCAGAUUGAACGCUGGCGGCAGGCCUAACACAUGCAAGUCGAGCGGAAACGAGUUAUCUGAACCUUCGGGGAACGAUAGCGGCGUCGAGCGGCGGACGGGUGAGUAAUGCCUAGGAAAUUGCCCUGAUGUGGGGGAUAACCAUUGGAAACGAUGGCUAAUACCGCAUGAUGCCUACGGGCCAAAGAGGGGGACCUUCGGGCCUCUCGCGUCAGGAUAUGCCUAGGUGGGAUUAGCUAGUUGGUGAGGUAAGAGCUCACCAAGGCGACGAUCCCUAGCUGGUCUGAGAGGAUGAUCAGCCACACUGGAACUGAGACACGGUCCAGACUCCUACGGGAGGCAGCAGUGGGGAAUAUUGCACAAUGGGCGCAAGCCUGAUGCAGCCAUGCCGCGUGUGUGAAGAAGGCCUUCGGGUUGUAAAGCACUUUCAGUCGUGAGGAAGGUGGUAGUGUUAAUAGCACUAUCAUUUGACGUUAGCGACAGAAGAAGCACCGGCUAACUCCGUGCCAGCAGCCGCGGUAAUACGGAGGGUGCGAGCGUUAAUCGGAAUUACUGGGCGUAAAGCGCAUGCAGGUGGUUUGUUAAGUCAG